GGAUUCCCCGGUGUUACGUUUCCCUCGUAACAAAUUCGAGUUCCGUGAACGGAUGACAUGCGCACUUCGCUCUAGCCAUCGAUUUUCAUUGUCCGAUACCGCGCAAUUAUCAGCCUGAACGAACGAACGAACAGUUUCUCUUUUUUAACUUCCCCUUUGCUACCUCCCACUAUACUCGAGAUUGUCGAGAAAUAAUAACAGAGGCUGAAUGCACCAGCACUCGUUCAUGGCGCCCCAUUAUGCCAAGAGGCGCGCCAAGGGGGCUUGGCAUUUUUUGCUGGUCAACCGAAGGAUCAGGAAAGACCGCCUUCAUCUUCCGUCAUUCGCUCUUUUUUCACUUGACUGGUGUCUCGAUCAACGCCAUCAUUGUCUUGCAGUUGUCCUGAGUUUGCAACGAAGCACUCUUGUCGCCAUUCGAAAGACACAAUGCAUCUCCAGUUACCAGGAGCGCAUUUUGAUCAAAGAGCUUGCAGGUCCACAUGUCAAGCAUGUAUCGUUUUGUGUCAACUUCCUUUUUCUCCCACUUUGACUGGCUGACGUUUCGAUAUAUCGAACCUAUUGAUGCGGGACGCUAUCUGGUGAACAGCUUGGUAAAUUGUAUCGAUGCACGAACUAUAGGAGAAAGCGCUGCGGUCGGCAAGAGCAACGGUUGAUAUUGGUAUUUACUUAUGCCUACAUAUAUCUAUGUGUUUUUUCUUCGCGCAUAAUGACAAAUUCCAUCAUCGAAGUGAUAAAAAUGACCCAUUAACAAAUGUUUUAAAAAAAGCAAAAAUGCAUGCGAAAUAUUUCAAGUUAGAAUUUUAAAGUAAAAGUGUAUGGCUAUCUGAGCAAUAAUAGUAAUAAUAAUAUUUUAUUCUCUAAUUCAAAGGUGCAUUGCUUUCUUCAGAUUUUAUUAUUGUAUUUCGUAAUGUCAAUCACUAAUUCUUUCGGAACAUUUUUAAAGAAAACAGCGCACAGCAAUUGUUCAGAGAACUACUAUCCUGAUCCUGCAAGGACGAAGUGUCACGUGGUUUCCAGUGAAGGAGACGAUACUAAAUACUUACUUUUAACACGAAUCUGAUUAUGUGAUUGAUGAUUAUGUGCUUGUUAUCUGGUUAUGAGCAUUCGACAUUCGGUUGUAAUACAUGGUUGAAUUUCAUUCGAUUAAGUAACUAUAUAUGUAUAUUUUUAGAUUACGAAUAGAAAAUAAAAUAAUUUUCAAGCGAGAACAUGCGACGUGCUUCGAGUAUGCAAUAUGCAAGUGAAACAAGUCGAGCCAAAUCAGACGCCUUUUCACGAUGGCUUCGGACAACAUGCUGUAGCAGCAUCCACCUCUCUGGAUCAACGCGGGUGAAGGGAAAAUAAUAUAUUCCAGAGGAAUUCUAAUUGCAAGCAGUAACGCUUGCGUGCCUUGGUAUCGAUUUACCGUCAGUUUCAUGUCAUAAAGACGUCAAACACACGAUUUUCAUCAGGACAACAUCUAUGGCUCGAAUUUACGGUCAACUCCGAGCAACAGGUCUCGAGUGGUUGAAUUAUCCCGCACAAACACGUGUACAUAAACGAUUCGUGCAAGAGGAACACGAAGUCUGGUUUCAUCGAUCUCCAGAACUAAAACACGCCCCUUUGUACUCACUCCUAGAUGAGACAUACCCCCUGGCAAUAACCUGUUGCGUUUGGUCGUAAAUCUACCCCGAGGCUGUAAUCCUGGUAGGCUUGUCUCGGAAUGACGUCAUUGACGAUCUUUUGAUGGACAAGUGACAUCCGUUCACGUUUCUCCAGGGAACCCUUUUAUCGAGACGAAUCAUCGAGACACGCGACUUUUUCCUGAGAAAAGUUUCCUUAUUUUUCAAAUAUCUGUGGUGGAGUAUAGCACCAACACACGAAGAGCAGGGUCGGUGAGAGAACCAUAAAUUCAUCUACUACCCGUCGUUGCUACCCUAGUAACUACGAACUUUCGUGACGUUACGCGAUGUUAGAUGACGAACCGUUCGACAUGUCGACAGCUCUCGUCUACUUGAUGUCCUUAAGGGACGUGACCAACAGAUUCUAUUGAAUAAAGAAAAAGCUAAGACCAGAAACGCGACGUAUCGAUCCGUCGACGUUGACGUCAACGUGGCGGGAAAGCCAUAAAUCCCUCAAACGUCUGCUGGUCCCCUGAUGCUAGGAAGCUACUUGUGCUACCGUGACAAACGGAUGACUGACACUUCCCUUCCUUUAAACUCCACGUCUUUCCAAUUAAAGUUAAAGAUACGUUCUCAACGAUAUAAAGUGGUAUGGUAGAAAUCACGAAUUAGUUAACAAUUCAAAACCGUAACUAAAUGGGUAAUUAUCUGUUUGAAUUACUUAUGUGCAAUUAAAUGUAAUAUUAAACAAUUGACAAAGAUUAUUAUGUAUAAUUAGAAUAGUAAACAUUCUGUUAGUAUGAAGAGCUCCUACGUUCAAUUUAUUCUAUACAUAUACAUUGUGUAAAGAAGGAAGUUGAGAAAGGUGUAUGAGAUAAGAGGGAAGAAGAAAUGACACAAUGCAAUGUUUGCAACUUGACUAUCCGAGCCCUCGUAUGCGGCCCUGAUACGUUGGCGUCCUUACGACGUAACAUGAUGAACAGAUGACGCUAAAUCAAUAUACGUCGUCGUCGAGCAAUUGUUAAACGUCGUUCGACCGAGGCUCCCGACUAAGAAGCUUUUACUUCCUACGCAACGAGCGAUAAACAUCUCUAGUGACGUAUACGUGUAAAUUGCAUACAUUUAAUCAUGAUAGACUAUUUUAAUUUUUAGAGUAUAAAACCGGAAACUUUGGAUUGAAGUUGAACUAAAUGUGAAUUUAAAUACAGAAUUACAACUUCUUUAUACAAUACUAAUGUAAGCACACCCUCCCUCCGAGGAAAAAGCAUUACCUACGUACUAUCCUAGAAGAGAAAAUUGAAUUUGGCUUCUUCCUCUCCUAGAAGAAACAAAAUUAAGAUUCCUUUUGCCAAACAAAUGUUAAUAGCUUUAAUACUCUGAAACGUUCGAAUACGAUAAAAAGAUAUUUGGAAGAAUAUAAGCGGCUACAAGAAGAUCGUGUCUAGCAUGCCUUGCGAGCUUCCAGGAACAGGCUAACAUCCACAAUCGAAGGAUUCAGUGAUCCUGGAAUGCACCAAAAUCUUAUUGCGCCCCGUUGCCACAGUGAUCGAUGAUGUUUGGGUUGAAUCGGAGGAAAAGGAAGUGGAUAGACGCAGAUGAACGUGGAGACGAUCGAAUGACGAGAGGCCGAGUACAAUUUUAAACGAGUCAAUAACAUCAAAAGCUUCGUAUACGCGGGUCACAUCAUCAUGUGGAGCUUCAUUUUACCAUAAACUCUACGACGUAGAUCGUAAUCGUUGUUAAAACUGUCACGUUUAACUAGCAAGUCACAAUGUCGUAGAAAAAAAUUAUCUGCGGGUAAAACUUCUAUAACACGAUACUAAUUUUCAGUGAAAUAUGUAAGAGAUCGAGAUGCAGUAGGCACAGUUUAUAACAAUCAGACAAAUUUUACUAGUCUUUACACCGCGUUAUAAUAGAGGCUAUUCAGCAUCUUUCUACUACAUGUAUAAUCAUGAAAUAUUAUCAGUGAAACAACGUCCGAUAUAUUUGUAUUGUCAAAUAUUGUCAAUGAGACCAUCGAUACCUUUGUGUCCCCUUUAUCCUCCACAAAAAUGUAUAAUAAUAAACUACAUAUAAGCCCAGCACAACCUUCGAUAAAGCAGUAUGUAUAAUUCUUUGCAAUUCUAGCGCAAUCAAGUCUCUAAGGAAAUUCGUUCGGUAGCCGCUCACAAUCACCACGUUACAUUCUCCGUAACAGGUGACUGCGUCGACGCUUGGCGUAUUUCUCGAACCAGGGGUGCACGUUAAACGUAGGGGUUGCUACCCACUUCUCGUGCAAUAUGGUGACUCGAAUGACGUAACAAAGCGCGCGUUUUACUAGGAGAACAUUCUUUAAUGAAGGAUACAACUACCCCUAACGAUCCUUGCUAGCAACCAACCAACCAUCUUACAAAACCUAACCUUUACGACAUUCCUACGUAAGUCGUGACAAACGACAAUAUCUUUGCAACUAACAAUUUCAUUCUACAGUAUACGUCAGUGAUUUAUUACUCUGUGUUAAAAUAUUCAAACUUUACGCAUCAAUAAAAUUAACGGGACAAACAUUAUAUAAAUACUACGUUACGUUCGUUUAAAUUUAUUGAGCGAUUUCAGAAACUGACCUAGCGAACAAGCUUAACCUUUGCGACGUCACGCUGCCUAACAUUUCUAUCCGGGAAUUAUAGGGUGCCAGUUAGUUUUGUGCAUAAUACGCUGGUUUAAACGAGGGUGGCAAUAUUGACACGCUUUUCGAACUGGACAAUGUCCCAAGAACAGGAGUUAAUACACAGGAGUACGUGAUCAAAGUAACGGCAUCGAUAAAGAUUAGUCAAAUAUAUAUGUAUACAUAAGUAUAAAACGAUGCGGUUAUCAUUGAUUAAUUUUAUUAACAGCGCCAAAUUUACUAGUUACGCUAAUGUAUAUUAUUCUGAGGUUAUUAGAUAAGGAUAAGUUAGAGCGAGCAAAAUUUUUUUAUUAACAGAAAAAUGUAUAAUUAAAUAAUAAAAGUU